UACGUAGGGUGCAAGCGUUAAUCGGAAUUACUGGGCGUAAAGCGUGCGCAGGCGGUUAUGUAAGACAGUUGUGAAAUCCCCGGGCUCAACCUGGGAAUUGCAUCUGUAACUGCAUAGCUAGAGUACGGUAGAGGGGGAUGGAAUUCCGCGUGUAGCAGUGAAAUGCGUAGAUAUGCGGAGGAACACCGAUGGCGAAGGCAAUCCCCUGGACCUGUACUGACGCUCAUGCACGAAAGUGUGGGGAGCAAACAGG
rnacentral:rRNA from 1 species